UGUCGUCAGCUCGUGUCGUGAGAUGUUGGGUUAAGUCCCGCAACGAGCGCAACCCUCAUCCUUAGUUACCAUCAGGUAAUGCUGGGGACUUUAAGGAAACUGCCAGUGAUAAACUGGAGGAAGGUGGGGAUGAUGUCAAGUCAUCAUGGCCCUUAUGGAGUGGGCUACACACGUGCUACAAUGGUGGCUACAAUGGGCUGCAAAGUCNCGAGGCUAANCUAAUCCCUUAAAAGCCAUCUCAGUUCGGAUUGUACUCUGCAACUCGAGUGCAUGAAGUUGGAAUCGCUAGUAAUCGUGGAUCAGCACGCCACGGUGAAUACGUUCUCGGGUCUUGUACACACUGCCCGUCACGCCAUGGGAAUUG
rnacentral:rRNA from 1 species